rnacentral:rRNA from 1 species
AUUGAACGCUGGCGGCAGGCCUAACACAUGCAAGUCGAACGGUAACAGGAAGAAGCUUGCUUCUUUGCGGACGAGUGGCGGACGGGUGAGUAAUGUCUGGGAAACUGCCUGAUGGAGGGGGAUAACUACUGGAAACGGUAGCUAAUACCGCAUAACGUCGCAAGAGCAAAGAGGGGGAGCUUCGGGCCUCUUGCCAUCGGAUGUGCCCAGAUGGGAUUAGCUAGUAGGUGGGGUAACGGCUCACCUAGGCGACGAGCCCUAGCUGGACUGAGAGGAUGACCAGCCACACUGGAACUGAGGCACGGUCCAGACUCCUACGGGAGGCAGCAGUGGGGAAUAUUGCACAAUGGGCGCAAGCCUGAUGCAGCCAUGCCGCGUGUAUGAAGAAGGCCUUCGGGUUGUAAAGUACUUUCAGCGGGGAGGAAGGGAGUAAAGUUAAUACCUUUGCUCAUUGACGUUACCCGCAGAAGAAGCACCGGCUAACUCCGUG